UACGCAGGUGUCGAUCGUUGUCCGGAAUCACUGGGCGUAAAGGGCGCGUAGGCGGUCGGGUAAGUGGGAUGUGAAAGCUCUGGGCUCAACCCAGGAAUUGCAUUCCAUACUGCUCGACUUGAGUUCGGUAGAGGAGGGCGGAAUUCCAGGUGUAGCGGUGAAAUGCGUAGAUAUCUGGAGGAACACCCGUGGCGAAGGCGGCUCUCUGGUCCGAUACUGACGCUGAGGCGCGAAAGCGUGGGGAGCGAACAGG
rnacentral:rRNA from 1 species